UACAGGUGGGCAAGCGUUGUUCGGAAUUACUGGGCGUAAAGGGUCUAGUGACGUGCGCUACAAGUCAGACGUGAAAUCCCUCGAGUCUAACUGGGGAACUGCGUCUGAUACUGGCGAGCUUGAGUGCAGGAGAGGAACGCGGAAUUCCAGGUGUAGCGGUGAAAUGCGUAGAUAUCUGGAGGAACACCGGUGGCGAAGGCGGCGUUCUGGACUGCAACUGACACUGAGGAACGAAAGCCAGGGGAGCAAACGGG
rnacentral:rRNA from 1 species